AUGAUCUGGGAGAGCAGGCUCCAGCAGACGGAGAAAGCCUUUAGACAGAGAAGUGCAGAUUGGCAGCUGGAAGUUGGGCAGAAGCCUGAAAUGAAAGGGAGAAGGAAUAUGGGUGUGGCAUCGACAGCUUCUGGAAGAGCAUGCUUAUUACACCUUCCCUGUCUGCAGGCCUGUGCGAGGCACCACCUCCAUAAUAAAGAAGCUGCCAGCCUGCUUUGUGGUCACGACAUUCUAGUUAUCACUGGAAGACCGAUAAAACUGAGUUUCCAGAUCUGGAAAACUAAGGACCUCAUCCUGGACUGAGAAGGACUGUACAGAUGGAUUUCCCUGGAGGCCCAUCGUGGCGGGCUGCUUCACUCACCCGGCAUAACCAGGCUUCUCAAGGAAUAGGGGCUGCGUUACCUAGGCUUCUGGGCUUGCCUGUAGCUCCUCCAAUUCCUCACUGCUCAGUCCUUACCUCUGCCUUGAACCUCCGUAACAUUGCUAGUAGGACCAGCAGAAUUGGCCUCCCCUGGGAGCUUGUUAGAGAUGCAGAGUCUUGGACCUCACCCCAGACAUCCUGAAUCAAAAUCUGCAUUUUCAUACGAAGCCCAGGUGAUUCCAAUUCACAUAGGACUUUGAGGAACCCUUGUCUAAAGCACUUGUGACAGUAGUACUAGCAAUUGCUGCUGUAGAAUUUGUUAAGUACAAAUGCUAAGGGACUCGUGUCUACGCAGCACCUACUCUGUCCCAGCACCUUUUUGACUACCAAGUCACAGGGCCCGAGGGUAGGAUCCUUACUUUGCUUAUUGCUCCUUAGUGAUCAGUGUUUGCUGGGCACUGUGCCAGGCACUGGAAAUACAAACGUGAAUGAGACAUUGGCCUGAUCACAAUGACUACGAGGUUGCCCAGCAGCACCGUCUGCACACAACAGGUACUCAAUGCGUGUUUCCAAGGUAGCUGAUCCCAGUGGGUUUGUGGGACCUUUAUGCAAGUAGCCUGGAUGUGAGCAGUAGGUGGGGUGGCCUUGCUAUGUGGAACCCAGCUUGCUACAUGGAAACAGGAAGAAGUAUUAUGUGGCAACCCAGAAACACGGACAUUUGAACCGAAGCUGAUGUUAACAUGAAACAGGCACCAAAUAAGCCAUAUUCUUUGGCCAGUGUGCUCAGGAAGUUGGCAUUCUUUUGUUGUUUAUUUAUUCACCUAAGUCCAAGGGUCUGAAAACUAUGGCCCAUGAGCCAAGUCUGGCUUGCUGCUUGUUUUUGUAAAUAAAGUUUUAUUGGAAAACA
rnacentral:lncRNA from 1 species